rnacentral:rRNA from 1 species
UAGGGAAUCUUCCGCAAUGGGCGAAAGCCUGACGGAGCAACGCCGCGUGAGUGAUGAAGGUCUUCGGAUCGUAAAACUCUGUUAUUAGGGAAGAACAAAUGUGUAAGUAACUAUGCACGUCUUGACGGUACCUAAUCAGAAAGCCACGGCUAACUACGUGCCAGCAGCCGCGGUAAUACGUAGGUGGCAAGCGUUAUCCGGAAUUAUUGGGCGUAAAGCGAGCGCAGGCGGUUAGAAAAGUCUGAAGUGAAAGGCAGUGGCUCAACCAUUGUAGGCUUUGGAAACUGUUUAACUUGAGUGCAGAAGGGGAGAGUGGAAUUCCAUGUGUAGCGGUGAAAUGCGUAGAUAUAUGGAGGAACACCGGUGGCGAAAGCUGCUCUCUGGUCUGUAACUGACGCUGAGGCUCGAAAGCGUGGGGAGCGAACAGG